UAGCCACAGACCAUGCCCUUUUCUACCCAGA
rnacentral:piRNA from 1 species